rnacentral:rRNA from 1 species
CAGUAGCCGCGGUAAUACGAAGGGUGCAAGCGUUACUCGGAAUUACUGGGCGUAAAGCGUGCGUAGGUGGUGGUUUAAGUCCGUUGUGGAAGCCCUGGGCUCAACCUGGGAAUUGCAGUGGAUACUGGAUCACUAGAGUGUGGUAGAGGAUAGUGGAAUUUCCGGUGUAGCAGUGAAAUGCGUAGAGAUCGGAAGGAACAUCUGUGGCGAAGGCGACUAUCUGGGCCAACACUGACACUGAGGCACGAAAGCGUGGGGAGCAAACAGGAUUAGAUACCCCAGUAGUCCCUGUCUCUUAUAC